UCUACUUCAGAUCUCAUGGAUGCUUGACCACAUCCUGCAGCGUUUCCAAUCGACAUUAGUGAACAUGGAGGCGACAGUCUUGAAUCACCACAAGCCAUAAUUUCUCUGUUUCCGGCCGAGUUCCUCAAAUAACGCAAAUAACGCAGGUGGAGUUGUCCAUCGGACCCCGUGAAUAUCUACAGAUCAAAGCUAUCCAUCAGUUAGUCCAAUAGACAAUCCUCCUCAGCACAGGAUCUCUAUAGACAACAUAGCAGAUGAUACCAAUGAUGGACAACCGUAUGACGACACAACAUAGCAGAGGACAACAUAGCAAUGGACAACCGAAAAUGUGUUUUUCUCAUUUUUUCAGCACCCACCACUUCCACAAAAUCGCUGUUAGUUGUCCUCCAUUAAUACUCAUCCAGAUCUGUUUUUUAUUUGUCCUCCACUAAAACUCAAACCUAGAUCACUCAUUAAAUCAA